CCCUUAGAUGUUCUGGGCUGCACACGUGCUACACUGGCAGGUUCAGCGAGCUUCAUGCCCUGAUCUGAAAGGAAUGGGAAAUCUUUUCAAAACCUGCCGUGCUUGGGAUAGAUGUUUGCAAUUAUUCAUCUUCAACGAGGAUUGCCUUGUAAGCGCACGUCAUCAGCUUGCAUUGAUUACGUCCCUGCCCUUUGUACACACCGCCCGUCGCUCCUACCGAUUGAAUGAUCCGAUGAAUAUCAUGGAUUGAGGAUUAUAGCAGGUUCGCCUGUCUUGAUCUUCGAGAAGUGAAGUAAAUCUUAUCAUUUAGAGGAAGGAGAAGUCGUAACA
rnacentral:rRNA from 1 species